GAGUUUGAUCAUGGCUCAGAGCGAACGCUGGCGGCAUGCUUAACACAUGCAAGUCGCACGGUCAGCAAUGGCAGUGGCGGGACGGGUGAGUAACACGUAGGAAUCUAUCUCUGGGUGGGGGACAACAGUGGGAAACUACUGCUAAUACCGCAUGAUACCUGAGGGUCAAAGGCGUAAGUCGCCUGGAGAGGAGCCUGCGUCUGAUUAGCUUGUUGGUGGGGUAAAGGCCUACCAAGGCUACGAUCAGUAGCUGGUCUGAGAGGAUGAUCAGCCACAUUGGGACUGAGACACGGCCCAAACUCCUACGGGAGGCAGCAGUGGGGAAUAUUGGACAAUGGGCGAAAGCCUGAUCCAGCAAUGCCGCGUGUGUGAAGAAGGUCUUCGGAUUGUAAAGCACUUUUGGCAGGGACGAUGAUGACGGUACCUGCAGAAUAAGCCCGGCUAACUUCGUGCCAGCAGCCG
rnacentral:rRNA from 1 species